GCUAUAAUAUCUACAUUAUUUCCUCUGGUGUGGUCAGAAAACCUCUUAGGGAUUUCAGAGAGGUAUAAUGUGUUGAUCUAACGUGUUAGACAGAUAUCGGAAUAAAUCGCAGAAGUCAAAAUUGCAAAAAGUUUCCCAGAUUACCCAAAUUCACCCUAACUGUAUCAUUCAUCCACUCGUCAAACGCCUGCCCGUCUGCCUGCCUCUCUGCCUGCCUGUCUGCCUGCCUCUCUGCCUGCCCGUCUGCCUGCCUGUCUGUCUGCCUGCCUGUCUGCCUGCCUCUCUGCCUGCCUGCCUGCCUGUCUGCCUGCCUCUCUGCCUGCCUGCCUGCCUGUCCGUCAUCUAUUUAUCUGUUCAUCUGUCUAAAAUAUAAGUGCAAGUAUUAUUUCACAAAAUGGAGGACUUAUUUUAGAUGGAUGGUUACAGUAGAUAGAUGAUAGAGGUACUUUAAAACUUUGCUAAUCCUUUUUUUUUACUUACACAAUCCCAUCAACAACUAAGACUUGCGUUUCGAUGUGUGUGGUUGAUUUAAAGAGUACGUAUCUCAUUAUUUAAACCUCCCAUGUUUAGAUUUGAACACACAUUGUAGCCUUCUUAUCGCUUACUUUCAUUGCAUUUCGUCCUUUCUUCACCACCCAUCAAACACUCUUAAUGACACACCUUCCCGACAAUCAGUCAUCUAUUCAUCUAUCCAACAGAUAAGUGCAAUCAUUAGUUCAGAAAAGAGAGGAAAUGUUUUAGAUAUUCUUCAAGAUAGAUGGAAAGAUACAGUACGUGAGUAGAUUAUAUUUUGUUUGAAACUUUCCUCAACCCCUUAAUGACAACACAACAAAAAGGCAUGAUUUUGAAUAUUAAUGGUUAAUAUGUCGAGUUCAGCCUUCCUUAAAAAAUACCAUAGCCAUGCUUUUGUGUUUGAGCUCAUUGGGCCUCAUUCGCCAACAUCUUCCUACGUUUUUGUCUUACAUUUGUUCUUGAAAAAGGUCCUAAGAAAAGUCCACAACAGAUUAAUGACGUGUUCUUGAAUUCUGGAACCUCAGUUUCCUCAGGAAAGUCCUGAGCUUGGACCACAGGCUACGAUUCCUCGAUGACGGACUAGAAAGGAGGAAUGGAGCAGAAAGAAAAUGACAAUGUUUUAAUAAUUUAACCAACUCUUGAAUGGCCUCUUAUCCUCAGCAUCCAAACAAUAAGAAAGCACAUACAAUCAUAGGAUCCAGCGAUGGGGAGACUGGCCCUGGUACAUGUGAUCCAGCGACACAGUGGGCAGCACACCAUCAGCAGGCCACUCUGGAGCCUGGAUAACGCCUGGAGACACUGCCCACAGAAGGUGUGCUUGCAGUGAAGCAUUCGAGGGGUCUUGUCCCUGCGUGAGUAGGACUGGAGGCAGACGCAGCACUCCAUGUCUUCACUCGUUAGUCCCAUGUCUGGUUGGCUGGGGUGUGGAUGGACACAAGAUGGACAGCUUGAGCGCAGAGGAACUCUGGAUGUAGAAACAGUGUUCUGACAGGAAAAAUGAAACUGGUUGAAUGUCUGUUUUCCUCUUUCAAGGUUUAUAUUGGUGCUGAUAUAGGUUUGUUCUCAAGUGUGGGUCAGAAAUCUACAAGAAAAAACAAAGGUAUCAAUGAAAACAUGUUGAAGCAAGUGUACAUUGCAUUGACAAAGGUCUGCUGACCUUAAUGUAACUACUUUUAAAGAAAACAUCCAUCUGACAGGAAAUAUAGAUUGUCUUAUUUAGCAUUUUGCUCUCAGCCAUCACUAACCUCUCUUGGGUAGAUUAAGCCUAUUAUCUGCAUUAUGUUUAAUGUCAGAGAAACAAAUCUUUUCAUAUCUCAACUCAGACUGACAAAAUUUUUGUAAGCUAAUAAUCAAUAUGAAAUAAAACAGACAUGCUGUAUAACAUACAGAGCAUUCCUAUUCAGACAUCCCUUUCAACACUGCCAAGAAAUUAUUUUACUUACUUCACUUGAUUAUCCGUCCAGCAUAUAACAAUCUGAUGAUUCAACUUUAUCUGUGGAAAUGUGAGUGAUAGUACGACAACCGCUUUUCUCUAUCUGCUUGCAAUCAAUUAAAGCAUGAGGUUUGUUUUUCCUGGACUCACCUUAUAAGGUGAGGCAGUUAAGUUCUCUGGAACUGAUCAAACAUUACCGCCAUGCAAAUAAUUCACACUCACUAAAAUACUCUUUGCCAAGUUCUUACAGUUGCUUCUAUGCAGCAGCUACGUUUUAAAAGCACAUACUGAAUGUCUGGUUUUUGGUAACCCAUAUUAGCUAUAGAUCAGUUAGUAUGUGUUCAGAUAGGCAGGCUAGUACCGACCACCCAACUGAUUAUUGAUGCUGCAAUGCAUCUGGUCUUUUCUCUGUAUUUCUUGGGGGAAUUUUAUGUGUCAUUUGGUUGUGUUGACAGAAGAGAACAGGAACGUUUUUACUGAGACCCGUGAGCUGUUUUAGUAAUGACGGC
ensembl:lncRNA